rnacentral:tRNA from 1 species
GCCCGGUUAGCAUAAAAGUAAUGCAUCCGUUUUGUAAUCGGGGGAAGUAAGCGCAAUACUUGCACUGGGUU